UACGGAGGUGGCAAGCGUUGUUCGGAAUUACUGGGCGUAAAGGGCGCGUAGGCGGGGAGGUAAGUCGGGUGUGAAAUCCCUCGGCUCAACCGAGGAACUGCGCCCGAGACUGCUCCUCUUGAGUCCGGGAGAGGAAGGUGGAAUUCCAGGUGUAGCGGUGAAAUGUGUAGAGAUCGGCAGGAACACCGGUGGCGAAGGCGGCCUUCUGGACGGUGACUUACGCUGAGGCUCGAAAGCGUGGGGAGCAAACGGGAUUUGAUAACCCUGUAGUCCACGCGGUAAACGAUGGGUGCUAGGUGUGGGGGGUAUCGACGCCUCCCGUGCCGAAGCUAACGCAUUAAGCACCCCGCCUGGGGAGUACGGCCGCAAGGUUGAAACUCAAAUGAAUUGACGG
rnacentral:rRNA from 1 species